rnacentral:rRNA from 1 species
UACGUAGGGUGCAAGCGUUUGUCCGGAAUUAUUGGGCGUAAAGAGCUCGUAGGCGGUCUGUCGCGUCGAAUGUGAAAAUCCGGGGCUCAACCCCGGACCUGCAUUCGAUACGGGCAGACUAGAGUUCGGUAGGGGAGUCUGGAAUUCCUGGUGUAGCGGUGAAAUGCGCAGAUAUCAGGAGGAACACCGGUGGCGAAGGCGGGACUC